rnacentral:ncRNA from 2 species
GUUUGUGGUCUGGGGUGCUGUUUGAUCAGCUGAGACAUACCCAAGGAACCUGACGCAGUUAGUACUGCCGUAGGGAGCACCAUUUCUUUUAGUC